UGGGGAAUAUUGCACAAUGGGCGCAAGCCUGAUGCAGCCAUGCCGCGUGUGUGAAGAAGGCCUUCGGGUUGUAAAGCACUUUCAGCGAGGAGGAAGGUGGUGAACUUAAUACGUUCAUCAAUUGACGUUACUCGCAGAAGAAGCACCGGCUAACUCCGUGCCAGCAGCCGCGGUAAUACGGAGGGUGCAAGCGUUAAUCGGAAUUACUGGGCGUAAAGCGCACGCAGGCGGUUUGUUAAGUCAGAUGUGAAAUCCCCGGGCUCAACCUGGGAACUGCAUUUGAAACUGGCAAGCUAGAGUCUCGUAGAGGGGGGUAGAAUUCCAGGUGUAGCGGUGAAAUGCGUAGAGAUCUGGAGGAAUACCGGUGGCGAAGGCGGCCCCCUGGACGAAGACUGACGCUCAGGUGCGAAAAGCGUGGGGAGCAAAACAGGAUUAGAUACCCUGGUAGUCCACGCCCUAAAACGAUGUCAACUAGUUGUUGGGGAUUCAUUUUCCUUAGUAAACGUAGCUAAACGCGUGAAGUUGACCGCCUGGGGAGUACGGUCGCAGGAUUAAAAACUUAAAAUGAAUUGACGGGGGUCAUAGCUGUUUCCU
rnacentral:rRNA from 1 species